rnacentral:rRNA from 1 species
CGGUGAAUACGUUCACGGACCUUGCACACACCGCCCGUCAAGCCAUGGAAGCCGGGUGUACCUAAAGUCGGUAACCGUAAGGAGCCGCCUAGGGUAAAACUGGUGACUGGGGCU